UGCCACAAUGAUGACAUUUAUUUGCUACUCUUGACCGAGGGGAUGACGAGAGUUAUUACCACCGUAUCUUAACUGAGGCA